GGGGCUGUAGUCUAGUGGUUAAGACGCUGCUCUCGCAUUAUCCUUUCUCUACUUUACCUCUGGGUCCAAGGUUCAGGAAGGAUAAAGAAAUGUGUACAGCAGAGGCCGCGAGUUCGACUCUCGCCAGCUCCA